rnacentral:rRNA from 1 species
CGAAGACAACUAGGAUGUUGGCUCAGAAGCAGCCAUACAUUCAAAGAGUGCGUAAUAGCUCACUAGUCGAGAGGUCCUGCGCCGAAAAUGUCCGGGGCUGAAACACACUACCGAAGCUCAGGAAUUAACGUAGUUAAUUGGUAGAGGAGCAUUCUUAAAGGGAAGAAGCAGUACCGGAAGGAGCUGUGGACUUUUAAGAAGAGAGAAUGCCGGAAUGAGUAGCGAGAGGAAGGUGAGAAUCCUUCCGGCCGAAUAUCCAAGGUUUCCAGAGUAAAGCUGAUCUGCUCUGGGUAAGUCGGGGCCUAAGGCGAGGUCGAAAGACGUAGUCGAUGGAUAACAGGUUGAAAUUCCUGUACUAUCCUGUAACAGAACUGUGGGGACACAGGCAGAGAGCGUGAGCCGGGAAUGGAAAGACCGGUACAAGCGAGGUAGGAGAAGAGUUGGCAAAUCCGCUCUUUAAUCUGAAGACGUGAUGUGGACUGAAAAUAAGUAGGGAAGCACGUGAGCUGACUGUCAAGAAAAGCCGCUAUUGUUUGCAGGAUACCCGUACCGUAAACCGACACAGGUGGAUGAGGAGAGAAUCCUAAGGCCGACGGGAGAAGCAUUGUUAAGGAACUCGGCAAAAUGACUCCGUAACUUCGGGAGAAGGAGUGCCAGUGAGAGCUGGCCGCAGAGAAUUGGCCCAAGCAACUGUUUAGCAAAAACACAGGUCUAUGCAAAACCGAAAGGUGAGGUAUAUGGGCUGACGCCUGCCCGGUGCUGGAAGGUUAAGAGGAGAGGUUAGCGCAAGCGAAGCUUUGAAUUUAAGCCCCAGUAAACGGCGGCCGUAACUAUAACGGUCCUAAGGUAGCGAAAUUCCUUGUCGGGUAAGUUCCGACCCGCACGAAAGGCGUAAUGAUUUGGGCACUGUCUCAACAAUGCACCCGGUGAAAUUGAAAUACCAGUGAAGAUGCUGGUUACCUGCGCCAGGACGGAAAGACCCCAUGGAGCUUUACUCCAGUUUGGUACUGGGGUCCGGUAUUGCAUGUACAGGAUAGGUGGGAGGCUAGGAAGCAGUGACGCCAGUUGCUGCGGAGCCGCUGUUGGGAUACCACCCUUGCAGUACUGGGCUUCUAACCAGCCGCCGUGAACCGGCGGUGGGACAAUGCCAGACGGGGAGUUUGACUGGGGCGGUCGCCUCCGAAAGGGUAUCGGAGGCGCCCAAAGGUUCCCUCAGAAUGGACGGAAACCAUUCGAAGAGUGCAAAGGCAGAAGGGAGCUUGACUGCGACACCGACGG